GAACGCUGGCGGCAUGCCUAAUACAUGCAAGUCGAACGCCAAAUCUUCCUGCUUGCAGGAAGAGGCGGAGUGGCGAACGGGUGAGUAACACGUGAGGAACUUGCCCAUAAGAGGGGGAUAACACCCGGAAACGGGUGCUAAUACCGCAUAGGUUUUCCCACCGCAUGGUGGGAAAAUAAAAGGUGGCUCUGCUACCGCUUAUGGAUAGCCUCGCGGCGCAUUAGCUAGUUGGUAGGGUAAAGGCCUACCAAGGCCAUGAUGCGUAGCCGACUUGAGAGGGUGAUCGGCCACACUGGAACUGAGACACGGUCCAGACUCCUACGGGAGGCAGCAGUAGGGAAUCUUCCACAAUGGGUGCAAGCCUGAUGGAGCAAUGCCGCGUGAGUGAAGAAGGACUUCGGUUCGUAAAGCUCUGUUGUUGGGGAAGAACACGGAUAGGAGUCACUGCCUAUCCCUUGACGGUACCCAACCAGAAAGUCACGGCUAACUACGUGCCAGCAGCCGCGGUAAUACGUAGGUGACAAGCGUUGUCCGGAUUUAUUGGGCGUAAAGCGAGCGCAGGCGGUCCGGUAAGUCUGAUGUGAAAGCCCACGGCUCAACCGUGGAACGGCAUUGGAAACUGGCGGACUUGAAUGUAGCAGAGGAAAGUGGAAUUCCAUGUGUAGCGGUGGAAUGCGUAGAUAUAUGGAGGAACACCA
rnacentral:rRNA from 1 species